GCCGAAGGGGGCUAGCGUUGUUCGGAAUUACUGGGCGUAAAGCGAGGUUAGGUGGUUGUCAUAUUCAGGCGUGAAAGCCUUGAGCUCAACUCAAGAAAUGCGCUUGAUACUGGGCAGCUAGAGGACCGGAGAGGAUAGUGGAAUUCCCAGUGUAGUGGUGAAAUACGUAGAGAUUGGGAAGAACACCAGUGGCGAAGGCGGCUAUCUGGACGGUUUCUGACACUAAGACUCGAAAGCGUGGGGAGCAAACAGG
rnacentral:rRNA from 1 species